ACUGUGAUGCCCUUAGUAAUGGCGAAUGAAACGGGCAGAGCCCAGCACUGAACCGCCAGCUUUUGAAAGGGUUGCGCGGAAUGUAGUGUUUGGGAGAGCCUUCUCAUGAUGCGCGGUGCAAAAUCUGUCUAAGUCCACCUUGACUGGGGCCACUACCCAUAGAGGGUGAUAGGCCCGUAAGACAGUCUGCGUGUUGUGCUGGCUUUUUCCCUAGAGUCGAGUUGCUUGGGAGUGCAGCUCAAAGUGCGUGGUAAACUCCACGUAAGGCUAAAUAUCACCCCGAGACCGAUAGCGAACAAGUACCGUGAG
rnacentral:rRNA from 1 species